CUGAGGUGGAAAAUGAGAAAAGAUGAAACGAAACGAAAAAAUGCCUAGUUUUGCCAAAAGUGACUUGACUGAAACCCAUUUCUUCUCCAAGUUAAGUCUGCUUACCCAUUUACGAAGAAAAACGAAGAGACCACUGCAAUUUCCAAGCGACAACCCAAAUAAUUGCCGCCUGAACUGUAACACACUACUUCCUCUCUCCCCGCUGGCAAGAGACUACUGAAUCAGUCAAACGUGUAGGGUAAGAAAAAAAGGUAGCAACUAUACGAUUCUUUGGUUUUUUAUUAUUCUCUUUUCUUUCUUUUAUUUUUUAAAUCUGCCAAUGCUUACUUAGAAAUUUCUUGUUUGAUGGUAUGCUGAUGAUGAAAUACAAUAUUUCAUUUUUUUUUUCAAUUGUAGUGCAUGAGAAAAAAAUAGCUUGAAAAUGUUGAGCUUGUUCAAUUAUCUUUGAGUUUCAGUAAAUACAAAAAAAAAAAGUUUGGAAGGGUUAAACUUUUUCAAUUAUCUUUCAGUUUUGGUUAUAAGAAAAAAAUCAAUUUGCUUUGACUAUACAAUUUGAACUAAAACAGCAUUCGUUGUUGAUUUUUGACAAUGACAUGGUUACAUGUUGAUGUGGUUGUUUAACUUAGUUGAAUUAGAUUAGUUCAACGGCAGGCAAGAAUAGGGGAAUAUGUCAUUGUUGUAGACAGAGGAGACAUAUGCUGUUGGAAUGCCCAAAAAAUGGAAGAUGUCCAAAUUGUGGCAAGGGUUCCGUCACCAAAUUGUGGUAAGGGCUUCGUCAAAUGAGUGGAGGUUGAAAAGAACAAUGACAAUAAAGGGCUAUUGUUUCAUUGUUGUACCUGCGACCGUAGAUACUUCAAGUGGUGUAACAAAUCCCUCAACGAAGAAUUUCCAUUACAUGGUGAUGGUAAAUCAGGCAGCAUCACAAAUGGAGGUGAACACGUUGAUGAUUUGUCACACAUGUUGAAAACGCUUGCUAAGCUAAGUGAGGAAAAAGAUUUGGAGAUUUUGCUAAAAAUAAAUAUGCGCAAAGGGAAACAAGUUUCAGAAAAUGUAAUCUAAAAAGGAAGUAUUAGGACGGUGAUUGAAUGGUUUCUACGUGGUGAUCAUUUGGAAUUGUUAAUCUAAAAUCUUUGUAAAUGUUUCUAAUCACACAAGUGUUUAUAUAUGACACUCUAGUAUUUUCUUAUGGAACUUGAUUUUUAGCAAAAUUGUAGUGAUGUUUAAGAAGUACUGAAGAUUGUUGUUGUAGCAAUGUCAUUUCAUUUUACGUGGUUCUUGCUAUGUCUUGUAGAUGAUGAUCAUGGGAAUACAUUCCUGCUCUUUUUCCUGUCUACAUUUACCGGCUAGCUUCUUCUUGCCCGCCAUCAGUGCUUGUGUCAAUUUUUAUUUGCUAGGUAUUUUCAUACUCAAUUAGAUAGGGAAUGUUGCAUUGUUAUGAUUUAGUUAGUUCGUGUUGGAGCUAAAAAGGCAGCUU
rnacentral:lncRNA from 1 species